CCUACGGGAGGCAGCAGUGAGGAAUAUUGGUCAAUGGGCUUACGCCUGAACCAGCCAAGUCGCGUGAGGGAAGACUGCCCUAUGGGUUGUAAACCUCUUUUGUCAGGGAGCAACGCCGGCUACGUGUAGCCGGACUGAGAGUACCUGAAGAAAAAGCAUCGGCUAACUCCGUGCCAGCAGCCGCGGUAAUACGGAGGAUGCGAGGGUUAUCCGGAUUUAUUGGGUUUAAAGGGUGCGUAGGCGGAAUGCCAAGUCAGCGGUAAAAUCGCGGGGCUCAACCUCGCUCCGCCGUUGAAACUGGCGGUCUUGAGUGGGCGAGAAGUAUGCGGAAUGCGUGGUGUAGCGGUGAAAUGCAUAGAGAUCACGCAGAACUCCGAUUGCGAAGGCAGCAUACCGGCGCCCAACUGACGCUGAGGCACGAAAGCGUGGGUAUCGAACAGGAUUAGAUACCCGAGUAGUC
rnacentral:rRNA from 1 species